rnacentral:rRNA from 1 species
UACGUAGGGUGCAAGCGUUGUCCGGAAUUAUUGGGCGUAAAGAGCUCGUAGGCGGUCUGUCACGUCGGCUGUGAAAACCCGGGGCUCAACCCCGGGCCUGCAGUCGAUACGGGCAGACUAGAGUGCGGUAGGGGAGACUGGAAUUCCUGGUGUAGCGGUGAAAUGCGCAGAUAUCAGGAGGAACACCGGUGGCAAGGCGGGUCUCUGGGCCGUAACUGACGCUGAGGAGCGAAAGCGUGGGGAGCGAACAGG